GGGGCUGACUUGGAUUUCGACAGAUUUCUUGUCGCACAGACAGCAUGCCAAGUGCUGCUUGUAAAACAGCAACAAAAAUAACUGCAAACAACACAGAUUACGCUCCAGCUUACGCUAAAGCUGCGUGAGUUAAUCUCCUUUUGGAGCUGGACUGAUUAAAAUUUCUAGCGUUUUAAUCACUCCAUAACCUUAAGCUAGACGCUUUUAAAAGGUGGUUCGCCUUUUAAACUAAGAAACAAGAACUCUUGAAACUACCUCAAGGUUUUAGAAAGUUGGACCAGAGCUAGUUUUAAGGCUAAAAAACCAACCAAUUUUCUAAGCAUUGUAGAAGUUUGUGUUUAGGGCAAGAUUUUUGGACUGGGGUUCGAUUCCCCACAGCUCCACCA
rnacentral:tmRNA from 1 species